UUUGCCAUUUAGGCGAGGGGUCACACCCGUUCCCAUCCCGAACACGGCAGUUAAGCCCUCCAAGGCCGUUGGUACUGUGCGGGCAACUGUGUGGGAGAGUAGGUCGUCGCCGGGA
rnacentral:rRNA from 1 species